UACGUAGGGUGCAAGCGUUGUCCGGAAUUAUUGGGCGUAAAGAGCUCGUAGGCGGUCUGUCGCGUCUGCUGUGAAAACUCGGGGCUUAACCCCGGGCCUGCAGUGGGUACGGGCAGACUAGAGUGCGGUAGGGGAGACUGGAAUUCCUGGUGUAGCGGUGAAAUGCGCAGAUAUCAGGAGGAACACCGGUGGCGAAGGCGGGUCUCUGGGCCGUAACUGACGCUGAGGAGCGAAGCGUGGGGAGCGAACAGG
rnacentral:rRNA from 1 species